rnacentral:lncRNA from 10 species
GCCUUUUCCUGCCCUGGAUCUCCGCCGCCACCUCGGUCUCGCUGCUCCUGGGCGGGGGGUGAGGACGAGUCCGGAGUAUCUGGGGUUUGGCGUUGUUGUCAGCCUCGGGGAGAGAGAUUGGACAAAUAUUCUCCAAGAGGAGGAGGGCGACGCCAAGGACUUUCCACAUCAACUGCUUUGGGGUAUCUCCACAAGUUGGAAGAGGGACCCUUUCGUUUUGCAUUGCGUGUGUUGUGCUCAUUACCAGUGCAGCGACUGCCGUCCCAGGGUGACUCUGAGUUGUCCUUUAUCGUGAGCUAGCAAUGGCUAGCGAAGACAAUCGUGUCCCUUCCCCGCCACCAACAGGUGAUGACGGGGGAGGUGGAGGGAGAGAAGAAACCCCUACUGAAGGGGGUGCAUUGUCUCUGAAACCAGGGCUCCCCAUCAGGGGCAUCAGAAUGAAAUUUGCCGUGUUGACCGGUUUGGUUGAAGUUGGAGAAGUAUCCAAUAGGGAUAUUGUAGAAACUGUCUUUAACCUGGUAAGUCCAUGAAUAUUUUAUAAGCAUAUACUCUUUUCAGUGGGUUGGGGAACAAGAUCUUAAAGCUGGAGCCAUGUGGUUUACUCACACUGAUGGUGACUUUUUUCGUGUAUAGGGACACAAAAUUCUACUCACCUAAAUGAAACAAUUUCAUCUGUUUUUUAGAUUGAAGGGAAUUGUGCAAACUUAGAUGAUCCAGGUUUUGUGAAAGUGAACACAUCACUUUUGUGCUAAGGAAAUAAUUGUUGCUAUGGAAGUAUUGGGGGGAGGUUCUAGCGGAGGAGUUAUCUCUAAUUUUUUUUUUCUUGGCUUGUAUGCCUAAGUCUGCGUUUCCCUUUACCACUUUAAAUAAUUUCUUGUGACCUUUUUUUGGACUUGAGAAUUAAUGUCUUUGAUUCUGUCGAAGUUAUGUUUUGCUACAAUAAGUUUAAAAAUUUGUUUGUAGUGCUGAUGCAAGAUUAAUUUGCUGCAAAGUUAGUAUUUUUAAUUUUGACUAGUUUUAUUUUUAGACAUAACUAACAAAAGUUAAAUUGGUGAUGAAUUUAGGAUUGCAUUUAAAGUAAUCUUGUGAAAAUUGAAUGGCAAUAUGAAAAAAGGAAUUGAAGCAGAUACAGUAUAAUUUUUAUGUGUUUUAUAAAUUCAUGUCUAGCAGGAAAGCAUAGUUAGUCAUUGGAAGUUGCUGAUUAUACUAAGAUGAGCUAUGAAUGCUUUUUUUCGGGUGGGGGUGGGAGGGGGAUGAGGCCUCUCUAUGUUGCCCAGGCUGUUCUCAAACUCCUAAGUUCAAGCUAUCCUCCUGCUUCAGUCUUAUGAGUAGUUGUGGCUAUAGGCAUGCAUCACUGUAUAGGGCUUAAAUUGUUUUUAAAUUGAGGUAUAAUUCAUAUAUUAUACAAUUCUACCUUUAAUUAAUUCAUUAACUUAUUUAUUUAGAGAUGAGGUCUCACUCUGUUGCCUAGGCUAGUUUUGAAUUCCUGGGUUCAGGCGAUUCUCCCCUCUUGUCUCCUAAGUAGCUGGAACUACUGGCAUGCGCCAUUGUGCCUGGCUUGGUUAUCAUUUAUAAUGGAGACUUUUUAGAUUUCUUUAUUCCAGCCUCUCUUGCCCAUCAACUUAAAGAAUCAAAAGGAAAUCUGGCCCUAAAAUACUUCCCCCUUUUCUACCUACCCACCUGUGUUAGAGGAUAACAGGACCAAAUAUAAACAUGCAGUUAAUUGUAAUAACUGUUUAGCACCUUUCCCUUUGCCUCUUUUCAAGGUUAGGCUUGUUUUAUUCUGGGGCAGUUAAUUAUUUCUUUCACUAGACCUUCUCUAAUGGUCUGGUCACCUGCAGUACAACUUCUAGAAUAAGAAAGUAGCUAGAUGGAAUUCUGGCCGGGCGUGGUGACUCACGCCUGUAAUCCCAGCACCUCAGGAAGCCGAGGCGGGCACAUCACUUGAGGUUAGGAGUUUGAGACUGGCCUAGUCAACAUGGUGAAACCCCAUCUCUACUAAAAAUACAAAAAAAUUAGCUGGAUGCGCUUGCUUGUACCCAGGAGGUGGAGGUUGCUGUGAGCCGAGAUCGUGCCAAUGCACUCCAGCCUGGGUGGCAGAGUGAGAGACUGUUUCAAAAAAAAAAAAAAAAAAAAGAAA